AGAACUGAAGUAAGUCAAACAACAAAAUGGUAAAGAUGAUACUGACAAAAACAAGUUUCCAAAAUUUGUAAAGAUGAUACUUAAAAAUUGGUUUAGGAUAACUAAACAAGAUGAACAGAACUACUCAGAAGAUCACUAGACAAAUUGCAUGCGGACAACAGUGGAUCGUUGAAAUUUUAAAUUUGAUAAUAAGGUAAUAUUACAUAAUAUGACAAAUAAAUAGAAUAAAAGUGGAUAAUAUUAUACUAGGGUAAUUGGAAAAUGCUAAUUCAUAUAAAACUCACAUGAUUUGACACUAAAUUACUCAAGAGAACAGGGAAAGAAAACCAGAAUGUCAAAAGGAAGCAGCAGCUAGGACUUUGGAAAACUAGAAAACUAUCAUGCUUAUAUGUCUUAAAUUAUUUUAGACAUGUUUUAUCAGUAUCACAUGCUUAACCAACUCUAAGACCAAUAUAAAACUACAGAACCAUUUCUUCACUACCAAUAUAAAAAAUAAAAUAACAAAAAUGUCAUGUUUAUAGUUCUCAUCACUAGAUAUAUUUGAUUUUCCUUUGCUUGUUUAGUUAGCGGAAUAUUAAAUUAUUUCACUUGACGUUAUUGAAUUAAAAUAAUUUCAUUUAAACAUAUUAUUUAAAAAAAGAAAAGCCUUUACUUGUUUAGGAAAUUAAAGAUAUGAAACAACUUAAGUUGAUUUAGUCUAAUACCUGGUUUGAUGUGGAUGUCUGAUGUAUGCUUGAUCCAUACCACACGGGAGUGCACUGAUGAUUCUACCAUUGAGUCUGAACUAAAGCAUUACUUUGCAGCCUCAACCAGAGAAAGUACACAUGAUCAACCUACAGGGAAACUCUGCAUAAGCACAUAAUGCUCAUCGGUCAUCAACUUUAGACAUCUUAUCAAUAUUUCAAGAUUUCACAGCUGUAAGAUCAAUACCUGCAAUUUGAUUCUGUAAAUGGAAUGUACAUUCAAUGUAUGAAGUGUGAAAAAAUUUCCUUAAAGUUUGUCACAGGCCUGCAAAACCCCAUAAAUACAAGUAUCACGAAAAAAACUGGUAGAGUGACAAUUUGUUUCUGAUGUCUGAUGUCUGUUUGAUUAUUAUUAUUUAAAUUCUUAUGAUCAACCUAAGGGAAAUACAGCAUAUGCACAUAAUGCUUAUGGGUCAUCAACUUUAGACAUCUUGUCAAUAUUUCAAGAUUUAUCAGUAGUCAGAUCAAUACCUGCAACUAGGUUCUGUAUAUGGAAUAUACAUUCAAUGUAUGAAGUGUGAACAAAUUUCCUCAAAAGUUUGUCACAGGCCUGCAAGACCCUAUAAAUACAAGUAUCAUAAGGAAAACUGGUAGAGUGACAACGAUAACUUGCAAAUUAAAUAAGAAAUCCCCCAAGAAAAGAACAUCUUCAUAUACAUGGGAAGCAUGACACACCUUCCAGAGAAAAUAACUGCUUGUCAUUUGAAAAAUUCUCAAGUGGCCAUUAACACGAACACCCAGCCUGUCCCUAUUGCCAAUCCGAAACUCUUAAAUGUUAAAGACCUGACAAUACCACCAUUCUUGGAAGGAGAAAUGAAUAAGACAAAAACUCUCUAAUAUCUCCAUUAUUCUAAAUUAUUCCACGGUGCAAAUUCUCAUUCACCCUUUCAGGAGUGUUAAACACAAGCCAAAACCACCUCUUGCAAAUUAAUUAGUUCAAAAUUUAUUAUUUACGCAUAAAAUUUAGUUUCCAUACACAUAUGCUCAUUGACUAAGCUCCCAUCAAGCAAGAACAUAAAGGUGUUAAAAGGUAACUUCAGUACGGUACCUGAUCCAGCCUAUUCCAGCCUCUAUGACGAAACAACAUUGAUUACCCUUUUAACUUAUCAACCCCAGUCCAACCACCAUACCAACACCAAAAAGAUGUCGAAAGGAGGCCAAAAAGAAGACAUUAAACAGAAGCUGCAUUAGUCUCAACAGAAACCAAACGAGCA